AUCAUGCUUGUUUUUCAUGUGUUGAUGUUUGUAGUCAUUUGUAACCAUAGUGGCUUCUUUCCCUCAGCUUUUGAAGUAUGACAAAGAAGUUGCAGCCUUCCAUGUUGUUAUUAGGGAAGAGGGUAUCAAGUUUCCACCAAGCUACCCAUACAGUGAAGAGCAUGCUAAACCAACCCAGUACAUGAACACUCGCUGUCCUGCCUGGUGUGAUCGCAUCCUUAUGUCACAUACAGCCCAAGAUUUAAUCCACAGGAGAGACGAUGGUGAGAAGAGUGUUGUUUACAACACAAUGGGUCCUAAUGUCUGUAUGGGAGAUCAUAAGCCUGUGUUCUUGUCCUUCUCACUGAAGACAAAUGACCACAUCUGAUACUUCUAAAUGGUAAGAAGUUUCACUGAGUGUGUGUGUUCUGUACUGCAUGUGCAAGUGCAGCUGAGUCGAUGUGGUAAUUCCAGUGAAUGGAUUCAGUGUGAGAGAGUGAGCACAGUAAUCUUUCUCUGGUCCCUGGAGAGCCAUAACCUUACUGGCCCAGUGGAGUCGGGAUAUGAACUAAGAGUAAUGCGUGCGGGACAUAAGAGAUCCUUUGUGCACAUCGUA
ensembl:lncRNA